rnacentral:rRNA from 1 species
GACGAACGCUGGCGGCGUGCUUAACACAUGCAAGUCGAGCGGUAAGGCACUUUCGGGUGUACACGAGCGGCGAACGGGUGAGUAACACGUGAACAAUCUGCCCUUUUCUUUGGAAUAAGCGUUGGAAACGACGUCUAAUGCCGAUUAUGACUCUGGGAGGCAUCUCCUGGGGUGGAAAGCUCCGGCGGAAGAGGAUGAGUUCGCGGCCUAUCAGCUUGUUGGUGGGGUAAUGGCCCACCAAGGCGACGACGGGUAACCGGCCUGAGAGGGUGACCGGCCACACUGGGACUGAGACACGGCCCAGACUCCUACGGGAGGCAGCAGUGGGGAAUAUUGGACAAUGGGCGAAAGCCUGAUCCAGCAACGCCGCGUGAGGGAUGACGGCCUUCGGGUUGUAAACCUCUUUCAGCACCGACGAAGCGAGAGUGACGGUAGGUGCAGAAGAAGGACCGGCCAACUACGUGCCAGCAGCCGCGGUAACAC